rnacentral:rRNA from 1 species
AGUGAACGCUGGCGGUAGGCCUAACACAUGCCAGCCGAACGGCAGCACAGUAAGAGCUUGCUCUUACGGGUGGCGAGUGGCGGACGGGUGAGGAAUACAUCGGAAUCUACUUUUUCGUGGGGGAUAACGUAGGGAAACUUACGCUAAUACCGCAUACGACCUACGGGUGAAAGCAGGGGAUCUUCGGACCUUGCGCGAUUGAAUGAGCCGAUGUCGGAUUAGCUAGUUGGCGGGGUAAAGGCCCACCAAGGCGACGAUCCGUAGCUGGUCUGAGAGGAUGAUCAGCCACACUGGAACUGAGACACGGUCCAGACUCCUACGGGAGGCAGCAGUGGGGAAUAUUGGACAAUGGGCGCAAGCCUGAUCCAGCCAUACCGCGUGGGUGAAGAAGGCCUUCGGGUCGUAAAGCCCUUUUGUUGGGAAAGAAGAGCAGCAGGUUAAUACCCCGCUGUUCUGACGGUACCCAAAGAAUAAGCACCGGCUAACUUCGUG